rnacentral:tRNA from 1 species
GCUCCCGUAGUUAAAUGGAUAUAACAGGGCUCUUCUAAGGCCUAGUUGGGGGUCCGAUUCCCUCCGGGAGCG